GACGAACGCUGGCGGCGUGCCUAACACAUGCAAGUCGAGCGGGGUUGAAGCGAGAGGUAACUCGAACUUCUACCUAGCGGCGGACGGGUGAGUAACGCGUGGGCAACCUGCCUCAAGGUCUGGGAUAACAGCCCGAAAGGGCUGCUAAUACUGGGUAUGCUUGUGGCCUCGCAUGGGGCUAUGAGCAAAGGGGAAACCCGCCUUGAGAUGGGCCCGCGUCCCAUCAGCUAGUUGGUGAGGUAACAGCUCACCAAGGCGACGACGGGUAGCCGGCCUGAGAGGGUGACCGGCCACACUGGGACUGAGACACGGCCCAGACUCCUACGGGGGGCAGCAGUGGGGGAUCUUGCACAAUGGGCGAAAGCCUGAUGCAGCGACGCCGCGUGAGCGAAGAAGGCCUUCGGUUGUAAGACUCUGUCUGAGGGACGAAGGAAGUGACGGUACUCCGGAGGAAGCCACGGCUAACUACGUGCCAGCAGCCGCCGGUAAGAUCACGU
rnacentral:rRNA from 1 species